ACUCCUACGGGAGGCAGCAGUGGGGAAUAUUGGACAAUGGGGGGAACCCUGAUCCAGCCAUGCCGCGUGUGUGAAGAAGGCCUUAUGGUUGUAAAGCACUUUAAGCGAGGAGGAGGCUACUGAGACUAAUACUCUUGGAUAGUGGACGUUACUCGCAGAAUAAGCACCGGCUAACUCUGUGCCAGCAGCCGCGGUAAUACAGAGGGUGCGAGCGUUAAUCGGAUUUACUGGGCGUAAAGCGUGCGUAGGCGGCUUUUAAGUCGGAUGUGAAAUCCCCGAGCUUAACUUGGGAAUUGCAUUCGAUACUGGGGAAGCUAGAGUAUGGGAGAGGAUGGUAGAAUUCCAGGUGUAGCGGUGAAAUGCGUAGAGAUCUGGAGGAAUACCGAUGGCGAAGGCAGCCAUCUGGCCUAAUACUGACGCUGAGGUACGAAAGCAUGGGAGCAAACAGGAUUAGAUACCCCUGGUAGCGACUGA
rnacentral:rRNA from 1 species